rnacentral:lncRNA from 1 species
AAAAUUGUAAUACUUCUCCUUCUUGUAGCAAAUUAUCCUACCUACACGAACGUGCCUGAGUCUGUCGAACUAGUCGACAAACAACGGAAGUUAUUUAUGUUGGAGCGAUAAGAAGCCAAACGUAUUUUUAAAUGACAGAUUUAACAUCAGUAAUGGACAGCUCAUAGAUGACUCGCAAUAUUUGAUUACAAUAGUAAAUGUACAUGUACAUUUAGGCACUCCUAACCUAAAAUAUUAUGACAGCUCCACUUUAAGAAACAUGGGUGUCUGUGCUGACCGUUUUUUAUCCGAAAUCAAGUCGUACAAAAAAUACGAAUAGAAGGAAAAGGUUGAAGGGGAAUGCCGUACCAGAACCAUCAAAAUAUUUAUUAAAAAAUAAAGAAGAAAAGGAAGAUAUACAAGAACGACAGCUCGUAAAAUUGAUGAGAAAAUAAGAAAGGCAAGACGAAAAAGACGAAGACUACUAUCAACAACAGCAAGCGAAUGUGGUUUAUUGGUAUAAAGGCGCAUCCGAAGGAGAGCUUUCCGUUAAAGCUGAGGAAGAUUCGCGCCCGAGAAAACAUCAAGAAAGAAGAGUUCAUGUCUUAAGAAUUAAGAGAAAGGGCGAAGAGCAGUUGGAAUUUCCUCGAUGGCAAAAAUUUAUUUAUUUUCUUUGUUUUUUGUUAACAAAUUAUUAUAUUCUGACAUUUUGUACUAUUUCUAACUUCUGUUGGGCUUUAUAUGUGUUAUUAUUCAAAAAUAUAGUAAACAAUUUAUUUUUC